AGAGCGAACGCUGGCGGCAGGCCUAAUACAUGCAAGUCGAACGGAUCCUUCGGGAUCAGUGGCGGACGGGUGAGUAACGCGUGGGAACGUGCCCUUUGGUACGGAACAACUGAGGGAAACUUCAGCUAAUACCGUAUGUGCCCUUCGGGGGAAAGAUUUAUCGACCAUUUGGAGCCGGCCCGCGUUGGAUUACGGUAGUUGGGUGAGGUAAAGGCUUCGACCAAGGCCUACGAUCCAUAGCUGGUCUGAGAGGAUGACCAGCCACACUGGGACUGAGACACGGCCCAGACUCCUACGGGAGCAGCAGGUAGGAAUCUGCGCAAUGGGACAAAGCCUGACGCAGCCA
rnacentral:rRNA from 1 species